UACGUAGGGUGCGAGCGUUGUCCGGAAUUAUUGGACGUAAAGAGCUCGUAGGCGGUCUGUUGCGUCCGCUGUGAAAACUCGGGGCUUAACCCCGAGCCUGCAGUGGAUACGGGCAGACUAGAGGUAGGUAGGGGAGAAUGGAAUUCCCGGUGUAGCGGUGAAAUGCGCAGAUAUCGGGAGGAACACCGGUGGCGAAGGCGGUUCUCUGGGCCUUACCUGACGCUGAGGAGCGAAAGCGUGGGGAGCGAACAGG
rnacentral:rRNA from 1 species